CGUCAUUGCACCCCUCAAGCUCUGCUUGGUAUUGGGUUCGUCCCCCGGACGUCCCUGUAAUUUCGUGGCGGUCCGGUGCGACUUCAAGCGUAGCAAGAUUUUACAUCCCGCUUUGGAAGCUCGCGGCUGCGAUCCGGCCAAACAAAUCCAAUUUUUCAAUGAUUGACCUCGGAUCAGGUAGGGAUACCCGCUGAACUUAA
rnacentral:misc_RNA from 1 species